rnacentral:rRNA from 1 species
GAUGAACGCUAGCGGCAGGCUUAAUACAUGCAAGUCGAGGGACAGCACAGGUAGCAAUACUGGGUGGUAACCGGCAAACGGGUGCGGAACACGUACACAACCUUCCUUUAAGUGGGGGAUAGCCCAGAGAAAUUUGGAUUAAUACCCCGUAAUAUAGUUGAAUGGCAUCAUUUGAUUAUUAUAGCUACGGCGCUUAAUGAUGGGUGUGCGGCUGAUUAGAUAGUUGGCGGGGUAACGGCCCACCAAGUCUACGAUCAGUAGCUGAUGUGAGAGCAUGAUCAGCCACACGGGCACUGAGACACGGGCCCGACUCCUACGGGAGGCAGCAGUAAGGAAUAUUGGUCAAUGGACGCAAGUCUGAACCAGCCAUGCCGUGUGAGGGAUUAAGGUCCUCUGGAUUGUAAACUUCUUUUAUUUGGGACGAAAAAGGGCCUUUCUAGGUCAACUGACGGUACCAGAUGAAUAAGCACCGGCUAACUCCGUGCCAGCCGCCGCCGUAAUAC